rnacentral:misc_RNA from 1 species
GCAUGGCCCUUGCUUGUUCCUUGGGUGUGUGAUUUAUUUAUUUAUUUAUGUCCAGUUUCUUGGUUUGCAUCUGUUCUUGGAGUAUAUAAAGUGUGGUAUUAGUAUCCUACUGCUAGAUCACACUUAUUCCCACAACUUAUCUAGUGGAAGGUGGUUUUUAAGAAACAUGGUAAAUGCUAAGGUGGGAACCUACUUGUUAAUGGCAUCUUCCUAUCCAAGGUUAUGGUUCUAGUAUUAACAAACUCAUCCAGCAUAUUCUGAGUGAUGGAAUUGAAUUUUGUGUUUAUCAUGUUAACUUUGUUUUUGCAGCAACCACACCAUUGACAAAGCAU